AACGACGACUUGGCAAUGAACCACAUUCUAAAGUGUGAACAAAGGCAGAGCUGUCAAGUUGCUGCAGAGCAAGGUUCAGCAAACUAAGCUUACUGACUUUUGGCAAUCAAUUUUUGUUUUGCAAGCCAUUUCCCUCACUUUUCGCUUUC
rnacentral:lncRNA from 1 species